AUGUGCUCAUUCAGACAUCCGAUAAAAUUGGAACAAUACAGAGAAGAUUAGCGUGGCUUUAUGUGCAAGGAAGACAAACACAAAUCUCAAAAUUGUCGAAAAAUUAU
rfam:Capsicum annuum cultivar Zunla-1 chromosome 9, whole genome shotgun sequence